rnacentral:lncRNA from 1 species
ACCUUGAGUGGCUUUCUCACCUUCCUUUGUUAACACACCUUGACUUGAGUGGGGUUCAUCUUAGUAAAGCAAUCCAUUGGCCACAAGCAAUUAAUAAAAUGCCUUCCCUAACUGAGUUGUACUUGAGUUAUACUCAGCUUCCUCCGAUUAUUCCAACAAUAUCCAUUUCCCAUAUUAAUUCCUCCACUUCUCUUGCUGUGCUUGAUCUCUCCGUGAAUGGUCUCACUUCUUCAAUAUACCCAUGGUUGUUCAACUUCAGUAGCAGCCUUGUUCAUCUUGACCUCUCUAUGAAUGAUCUAAAUGGUUCAAUUCCGGAUGCUUUUGGAAACAUGACUACUCUGGCAUAUCUUGGUCUCUAUGGGAACGAGCUACGUGGUUCAAUUCCGGAUGCUUUUGGAAACAUGACUAGUCUGGCAUAUCUUUAUCUCUCUUCAAAUCAGCUUGAAGGUGAGAUUCCGAAAUCCUUGAGAGAUUUAUGUAAUUUACAGAUACUAUACUUGUCUCAGAACAAUCUCACUGGACUGUUGGAAAAAGAUUUUCUGGCCUGCUCUAAUAACACAUUAGAGGUUUUAGAUUUAUCUCAUAAUCAAUUCAAAGGGUCAUUUCCCUGGCUUUCAGGAUUUUCACAGUUGAGAGAAUUAUAUCUUGAAUUCAAUCACCUAAAUGGAACUUUACCUGAAAGUAUUGGACAACUGGCUCAACUUGAAGUGUUGUCCAUUCGUUCAAAUUCAUUGCGAGGCACUGUCUUGGCAAACUACCUUUUUGGUCUCUCCAACCUGUCUGUCUUAGACUUAUCUUUCAACUCCCUUACAUUCAACAUAAGCCCUGAGCAAGUUCCCCAGUUUCAAGCCUCUCGUAUAAUGUUGGCCUCUUGCAAAUUAGGACCACAUUUUCCUAAUUGGCUUCAAACUCAAAAAUAUUUGUUGGACCUUGAUAUCUCUGCUUCUGGAAUUUCUGAUGUCAUUCCCAGUUGGUUUUGGAAUUUAAAUUCAGGUUUAGCAUGGUUAAACAUUUCCAACAAUCACAUCUCAGGCACUUUGCCAAAUUUACAAGGAAUAUUUUAUUUGGGAAUGUGGGAUAUGAGUUCAAAUUGCUUGGAAGGUUCAAUACCACAAUUUCUUUUCAAUAAUGAAUGGUUGUAUCUCUCCAAGAACAUGUUUUCAGGCUCAAUUUCUUUAUCUUGCCGGAUUGCUAAUCUGUCUGGUUCGGGUUUGUCCCAUCUUGAUCUCUCAAAUAAUCGACUGUCAGGAGAACUACCCAAAUGUUGGGAGCAGUGGAAACAUCUAAUUGUUCUUAAUUUGGCAAAUAAUAAUUUUUCUGGGAAAAUUAAAAAUUCAAUUGGCUUGUUAUAUCGGAUUCAAACAUUGCAUUUACGCAACAAUAGUUUAACCGGAGCAUUGCCUUUGUCCUUAAAGAACUGCAAAGAUUUGUGUCUUGUAGAUUUUGGAAGAAAUAAAUUAUCAGGCAAAAUACCUGCAUGGAUGGGAAGAAGCCUAUCAAGUUUGAUUGUUCUCAACCUAAGAUCCAAUGAAUUUAAUGGAGGCAUACCUUUAAAUCUAUGUCAAUUGAAAAAUAUUCAAAUGUUGGACCUCUCAAACAACAAUCUAUCUGGUACUAUACCAAAAUGUCUCAACAAUUUAAGUGCCUUAACUCAAAAAGGGAGUUUGGUCAUUUCUUAUUAUGAAGGAGAGUUGAAUGGUUGGAAGCUCUCCUAUCUUGAUAAUACAUUGGUUCAAUGGAAAGGAAAAGAACUAGAGUACACUAAAACUCUUGGACUUGUGAAGAGCAUUGAUUUUUCGAAUAACAAGUUAAUAGGAGAAAUUCCGUCAGAAGUAACUGAUUUGGUAGAAUUGGUGUCAUUGAACUUAUCAAGAAACGAUUUGAUUGGACCAAUCCCUGCAACCAUUGGUCAAUUGAAAUUAUUAGAUUCUCUUGAUCUAUCUCAAAACCAGCUUAAUGGUAGAAUUCCAGAUAGUCUUUCUCAAAUAGCUGGUCUAAGUGUUUUAGACCUAUCAAAUAACACCUUGUCAGGUAAAAUUCCAUUAGGCACUCAAUUACAGAGCUUUAAUACCUCCACAUACGAGGGAAAUCCUGAACUUUGUGGGCUACCUCUUUUGAAAAAGUGUCCAAAAGAUGAACCUGGGGAAGCCUCCUUCAUUGGUUUUAGUAGUAAAACAGAGGAUAUUCAAGAUGAUGCAAAUAAUAUAUGGUUUUAUGGAAAUAUCGUUCUUGGAUUCAUCGUCGGAUUUUGGGGAGUUUGUGGCACUUUACUACUCAAUAGUUCAUGGAGAUAUGCCUAUUUCAAGUUCUUGAACAAGAUAAAAGACCGAGUGUAUGUGACAACAACAAUAAAUAUGAAUAGACUAUGGAGGAGCUUCCAAAUUUAAAUGGUAAGAUUUCUCAAAUUCUCUCCUUAGUCUUUUUAAUAAAUUAUAUUACCUUAGUAGCCUCUUUCUAUUAUUGCUCAAAUCCCUAUUCUAUUAAUUAACUUACCUUCCACAACUUAUGGAGAUAAAAUAAGAUUUUUCAAAUAAAAAUAUCAUAUUUUAUUUGAUUAGAUGUGAAAUUCAACUAUAACUAAGGAAGCCUUGAAUAUUUUGAUAUACCAAAUAUAACAACACCACAUUUUUAGUUCUCAUUGUACAUAUAGAUAAAUGUUAUGGCUUGAGAAUCAUAGUUGAAAAAUUAUAAUUAUCACUAUUUUUUUCUCAUCUUGCUUUUACUUACAGUUGUACCUUUUGCUGAAGUUCAGUCAACUUGCUUUAAGAAUAUUUGAGGUUUUAUUGUAAGAAGCAUACUACCAUACUUUCCUUUAUAUUAAUCAAGAAAAGUAAAUUUGCUUCUAUUGAAGACAUUUUUUUCAAAUUGAUGAAUAUUAUUUCAUUUGUUGUAUUGCAGAACUUCAAUUGGGUUGCAUCUCAAGGAUUAGUAGGUAAUAUAUGCUUGUGAGUAAUGAGUUUAUUUAGUAUUGGACAGCCUGAAUGUAAGAGCAUUUGUGUUUAUUGAACUCAUCAUCUUAUAAAUAACUUUGGCGUGUAUUAAGUUUGUUUAUUUGAUAAUAGGCGUGGCUUAAGUUUCUUAUGUUAUGCUCUAUUUAGAGCGAAUCAAAUAUAUUAGAGGAUGAUAUCAAGUCCUUUGUGGUGCAAUGCUAGAAACUACUUCGCUUUAAAAAAAACGUUUUCUUUUGCUCAAAAACCAGUAGCAACUAAAGCCAUAAUUUAAAAUGGGACAUGGUAAGACUAAGAACAGAAACUGAGCACUCUGUUUUUCUGGUGCCCAAGCAUGGAAGUUAUUAUAAUAAAAAGAAACAGCUGGUCAGAAUAAAACAAAAUUCAAAACAUGGUGUUUCUCACAAUGCAUAUUGAGGCUUCAUCCACUGAUAUUCCACAACAGAUUAACCGUCAAAAACCCUUAUGUUGAGUAGGAGAAAAGAAGCUCCAUACUUCUCAGGACAUACAGAACAACACCUUGGGUAGAGACCUUGACCAUGCUUGCAGAAAUGUGUUUUUGGAGCAGCAAUCCGAAGUAUAGGAGGCUUCAUAUUUGGGAACACUCCUCAUUCAAUGUAUCAUUGUGACUGAGAUGACUACAUAUUGAGGUUUGAUCAGUUCUAGGAAGGUGACUGGUUAUCAUAAAGCAUUUACCAACCAUUCUUGAAUACAUACUUAUGUGAUUUAGCAGGAUGGAACUGCAACUAGUCAUUAAUUAAGCAACAAAAAUGGCUGUGGUAAGAUUCUGAGACAUUGAUUGUAUAUUCCAUUGUUUUUUAUUUGAGGUUAAAUUCGGCUUUUGUUUUUUUUACUUUUUAAUUCUCUACUGCUUACAUGCCUCUUGUAUCUGAAGAGGCUAAUUGUUCAUGCGGUUGAAUUUUGCAACAUUUUCUUAUUGUUCGGGGCUUAAGCUUCUGUUCAUUUUUUCAUUAUUAUGUUUUUGUGCUUUGUUUUUUAUGACUAAUCCCAUGCCACAUAGUGAAGUGUUCACAGAGAAUGACUGGAAAUUUGUCCAGCUUGGGCUUGCUCUAUUUUAGAACAUUUUAGCCAUUCAAGACAUCUCGUUGCAGUAGAAGGCUGGGAGUCUGCACGCCACUCAAUUUUUAUCUCUGAGUAACCAAUUUUUGGUGCUGUUAUUCUUCAUUGAUUUAGAAGAUGAGCUGUUAUUUUUGGGGAUAUCUGUGUUAUAAUACACAAUAGUAUGCAUUGGGAUAUGCUACUACUGAAAACAGAACAAUCUGUUUUUGUGGCGUCCAAGCAUAAAAGCUAUUGUCACACAGCGAGGUCUGAUUUCCAACUGUGAAUCAAAUUGCUCGAGGUACUUCAUAUGCAGAUCGCUGCAAGUGGCUUUGGCCAUCAAUCUCCUUCAGGGGAUGAUAAUAUUGAGAUUGCAGUGAAGGUUUGGGUGUUUGUCACAAUGCCUGUUGAAGCGUCAUCAGAUGAUAUUUAGUCAUCAGAUGAUAUUUAAUGACAGAUAGGGUAUCUGUGGGGUUGAAAUCUCAUUACAUGCGGCAACACAGUUCUUGAUAUUUAAUGACAGAACGGUAAGCGAACUUUAUAUGUAGUUUUUUCCCUUCUCAUGGGUUCAUUUGUAAGUGUCCCAAUUUUCAAACAGAUGAAUAAUGGAUGGUGAAAGUGUCCUACACAUCAUAGAACAAAGAACAAGGAACAAGGAUCAGGAGUUCCCUUUACCUCUUGGGAUCUGUGUUGACACAUCCAUCUCAAAUUUCACUACUUGCAUUUUCUUUUGGGAAGUUUUUAUUGAGGACAGAAUAAUAAAUUAGCAUAUAGCUCUGUGAUAUCUGUCUAACCAUGCUGGCUUUUCCAUUUUGCAGAUUUGCAUGCUAGAUUUAGUGCUUAAACUAUCACUGGAAGAUUCUAAAGAGCCUCAAACAGCCCACAUCCUUCUUUAAAAGUUAGAUUUAUGAUCAGACUGAUCAAGGGUUGACUCAUUUUCUCUUGAAUCUGAUCAAAUCCUUCGACUCUCAUACUAACCCAAAAGGUUUCCCCUUUCAUUUCAACAACUUAGAAGUUCAUUGUUGAUGAUGAUGUUGCUGUUAUAUUCAUUAUUAUUACAACUAAUUUGAUAAGCAAUUAUUGUUAUUAUUUUUCUUUAUCUUAUAACACAAUCAUAUGAUAAAUGGAAUAUAAUGUCAUGACUGCAUUGAAAUUCUUGACCAAACAGAAAAAUGGGAAAUUUUGCUGUCUAUUUUAAAGCAUUGUAAUCAAUAUAGGGUAUCAUGAUGAUGAAUCAAGUCAACCUUGCCCCUACACUUUUGUGGUUGUGAAUGCAUUGAAAGAAAGUAAUAAUUCAGUCUGUGAAUCAAACAGGCCAUUAGUUCUUCGAAAGACUGAUACUCGAGAUGAAUGGGAAUUUGAGGCUGUAAGGCUGGGACGAUGAUGUAAACGGCACUCGCCAAUGGGUUCCUGAAUGGUCUGCAGUUUCUAAUCCAUGUGAUAUUGCUGGGGCUUGCCCUGUGUAGCUUGGACUGAAGCAAAACUAAUGCCUCCAGCAUGUACAUGCCUGCUGGGGGCUUCUAAUGUGGGAGACGGCGGCCAGUGCUCAGAGAAUUCUUCGGUGUCAACCGCGAGAUGUGAUAAUAAUCAUCGGAAUUCGACUGCUUCCAAGCUGAAGAUGUCGAUAGUGCAGCAAACUAAGUACUAUUAUCUCAUUUUUCCGAUUAUAGCAAAUUACAGUAACAUCUCGCCAUUAUCACAGUGCGGUGAUGCUUGUUUAUCAGACUGUGAUUGUGCUGCUUCCGUGUUGGCUGCUAAACAACUUGGAGUUUGGUGGAUUCGAGGACACGAGUUCGACCUUGUUUGUGAAGGUUGGGCCUAAGGGAUCACCUGGAGGCAACGCAACAGGAUUUGGGGAUUCAUCUGAUGGCCUCUGAGACAAGGUCUUAGUUCUUCCAAUUGUUCUCAGCAUGACUGUCCUUGUAGGACGACUCUGCUUCUUGUUAUACCACAGUGUGUACAGGAGGAGGGCCUUGAAGAGAGCCCUGGAAAGCCCCUUGAUUGUGUCCGGCGCUCCAAUAAAUUUCAGUUACUGUGAUUUGCAGUGCAGAACCGGCAAUUUGCACAGGUCAGCAUGUACAUAUACAUAUAUAGACUUUGAAAAGGAUGAAAUUGCUUGAACAAAGCCAAUUAGACUUGAUCAAUGAGGAUUAAUGUUGUCUUCUUUUUUUUUUUUUUUUUCAUGAGAGUUUGGGAGUGUAUACAAGAUGGGACAUUGGUUGCAGUGAAGAAGCUUGACAAGCCUCUUGGGAAGAAGGAAUUCAUAACUGAAGUGAAAACUAUUGGCUCUAUGCAUCACAUGAACCUGGUUCAACUCUGCGGCUACUGCUCAGAAGGCUCUCACCAGUAUGCAUUUCAUUUCAUUGCCUAAUACCAAUUACCACUAACCAUAUUUAAAUUCUUAUCAUCCUCUUUGGGGGUCAAGCAUACUAUAUCUUCGAGCUUGUAAUGGGGUUGGAAUUUGAUGAUUCUUCACAGGCUUCUGGUUUAUGAGUUCAUGAAAAACGGUUUCUUGGACAAGUGGAUAUUUCCCUCAAAGCAUUGUCGGGACAGACUGCUAGAUUGGGGAACUCGCUUCCAUAUAGCCAUUGCUACUGCACAAGGUAUUGCUUAUUUUCAUGAGCAGUGCAGGAACCGGAUCAUCCACUGUGAUAUCAAGCCCGAAAACAUACUUCUAGAUGAGAAUUUCUAUCCAAAAGUUUCAGACUUUGGACUAGCAAAGCUGAUGGGCAGAGAGCAUUGACAUGUAAUCACUAUGGUGAGAAGAACUAGUGGUUAUUUGGCUCCAGAAUGGGUGAGCAACCGACUUGUUACUGUAAAAGCCGAUGUCUACAGUACAGAUAGCUUCUUUUGGAGAUCGUUGGUGGCUGGAGAAACCUUGACAUGACUUUUGAUGAAGAAGACUUCUUCAAUCCUGGGUGGGCUUUUAAGGUAUAGAUCAGUCAAGUUCUUGCUUUUGUAAAUCACAAAUUGUUAAGUGUUUGAUAUUUUAUUAACAAAAAUGUCAAUUCCUCUAGGAAAUGAGUAAUGGGACGACGAGAAAAGUUGCAGACAGGCGAUCGACUGGAAGGGGCAAUGGAGGAAGAAGAGCUGGAAGAGCAUUGAAAACCGGCUUUUGGUGCAUUCAAGAUGAGGCUUUCAUGAGGCCUUCAACGGGGGAAGUGGUGAAGAUGUUGGAAGGAUCACUUGAAAUCAACACACCGCCAAUGCCACAGACAGUGCUGUAGCCCAUGGACGAAGGCCUAGACAAUGUAUACAGAGCCAUGAAGAGAGAGUUCAACCAGUCCAGCUUCAUCACCAUCAAUAGUACCCAUCCUUCAUCAAGGGCUACAUGUAGUUAUUCCACAAUGUCACCAAGAUAGCAAAGGAGAAAUGGAACAAAUUUUGUUGCUGUCCAAGAAUUUUAUCCCCAUGAUACUUUGAUACUGUCCAGAAACAUAGUAUUUAUUGACCAUUUGUUAAACUAGUAGAGAACUUUGCAUAAUGUUGUUGCUAAGAUUUCAAAUGGUAAAAGAAAUUAUAUUAAUUGCGAAACAAAAACAUAAACAAUUAGGUUGAGGUACGGAAAUCUCGUUCUUUUAAAGGAGAUUUAAGCCAUUUCUAGUUUGACAAUUUCAGAAAUCGGUAUACUUGACUUCUCUUUGGUUUGUCCCCUCAAGGAUACAAUGGUCCAAGUGAUUUGUUGCAUAGCUCACGUCAAUAUGCAUAAAGCAUAGAACUCAAAGCUAGCGGUUCACAAACAAACCUAUUUUUUUUGGCCAAGAGAAAAUAAAUAAAUAAAAAGGAAGAAGGCAGAAGAUGACUAAAAAAAUGUGUUAAAGUUAUAUGACAUUAGGAGGGUGAGUCAAGGCUAAUCAUAAAGUUUGAAAUGUUCAACAAUUUCAAAAUAAUUCAAUCUCGAUAAAUCCCAUUAACAUAAAUGAUAUUUAAUAUUUUUUAAUUUCCAUAAUUUUACAUUUGUAACUACAAAUUUAAUAACCCAUUAUGCCAACUUUAAUCCCUAUAACUUUCAUAUAUAACCACAACGUUAGUAACUAGUUUCUUUAAUCCCAAAUCUCCAUUUUUUUGAACUUUUAAAAACUUUUUUGGACCUCAUAUGACUUAGAUAUUGAUUUGAUAGGUUAAUUAUGCUUAGGGGGUGUUCAAUUGAUGCUUGAAAAAAAUCAAAAUAAAAAAAGACUAAGAAAUGAGUAAGGAUACAAAGCAUGUCAAAAUAUGAUAUCCCACAUCGGAUAUGGAAGAAAGUUCUUGACACUAUAUAUGUAGAGACUCCUCUUAAUUAUGUAAACGUGUCUUAAAACCAUGAGGGUCCCUUUGGGUUUAAAGCGAACAAUAUCUAUACUACGAAAAAUGUGAUGAAUUCUCGCAUUCUUCAUACCCUCCUCCACUUCUUUGAACUUUAAAAAAAAAAAUUGAACAUCAUAUGAUUUUGAUAUUGAUUAAAUAGGUUAAUUACACUUGGUGGGUAUGAGAUUAAUGCCCGAAAGAAUUGAAAUCGAAAAUUUAAAAAAAAUUUUGAGGAUUCCUCACACUCUUCAUACCUUAUCAAAUUUCCACUUCUUUCAAUUUUUGAAAUCUUUUUUGAAUGUCAUAUGGAUUGAAUAUUGAUUAAAUAAGUUAAUUUAGAAGGUGUGAAAUUGAUGUCUGAAAAAAUCAAAAUCCAAAAAUAUUAAAAAAUUAGCAAAGAGUGUGGAAUUCCUUAUUGCUACUAAUUAUAUUAUUAUUAUUAUUUUGUAUUUUCAAUACUUCAACCAAUAUUUGAUGUGAUUAAAUUUAAAAUGUAAGAAAGAAUUUAUUAAUACAAUUUUCAAUUAAUAAUUAGUACACAACUAUCUUAAUUUUUAAACAUUGUAUACUUAUUUAAAUUUAUUUUCAUAUUUUUAUAAAAGUGUAAUUACACUUACAAUUUAUUGAAAUUUUUGUAAAGCUCCUGAGACGUAAAGGUUAUAUCACGAUACUGAAUUCUGCUAUGCUCGCCUUUCAAGCUCUGAUGCUCCACGCCUGCAGCUCCGUUCUUUGCAACUGAAAUACACCAUUAGCUAUGUCCGCCUGUGAUUAAUGCUCUUGCCAAUGGAGCCGGUGAAAUUUAUUUACAUUGUUUUUCUUUCCAAAGUAUUUUUUUAGAUGGAAAGAAAAAGAGACAAAUUAUAAAAAAUAAAUCUCCAAUACCAAUAUUUAAAAAUGAUUUAUCUAUUUGUCAACACAAUUUGAGUGGAAGAAUAAUCAAGACAUGUGAAAAUCUAUAUAUCAGGAAUCAAAUAGGGCCCAAGAACAGGUUCCAACAAGAACCAUCAAUGGGUUGCCCAAUCAAUAACAAAAGGCCCGGUCUCAUGGAUCACACAAAAUGGAGUCACCACACGAUAGGUUUAAACCCAAAUAUAAAUUUCAAGUUCAUAUUUUCAAUCCCAUUUAUAAUUUAUUUAUUCAAAUUAGAAAUCUAUUUAUCAAGAAUUAAGUUAGAGUGCAUGGAGACCAAAGUUAAGAGAGAGGAUCAUGCCAAGAUUUAAAAUGAACAAAAUAUUUAUGAUUUAUCUAUAAUAAAUAUUCAAAUAAUAUUAAAAAAAAAACUAAUUAUUUUGAUGAUCAUAAAAUAUAUCAUUAUUGAAAUACAAACAAAUUUAAAUAAUAAAAUCUUUUUUUAUCUUAAUAAUUAAAAGUUACAUAUUUAAUAAAAUUAAAAUUACUAAUAAUUUAAUAAAUCUUUGUGUCAUUCUUAUCAUAAUUUAAGUUGUCAACAUUAAUGAUAUAAGAUGAUGAAAUGUAUUUAAAUUUUUUAAUUAUUUAUAUAUUUUUAAUUUCUUAUAAUUAGUUUAAAUUUUAAUAAUAUAUAAAUUAUAUAUUUAUGAGAUUACCAAUUUGAUCACUGUUUAACCAUAAAUCAAUAAUUUUUCUCAUUGAAUAAUCAAUCUAAUUCUAAAAACAUUGAUAAAAACUAAAGAAUCUUUAUUAUAAAAAAAAUAAAAGAUGUAAAAAACAAAUAAUUUGACUAGUCAAAGUAAAGGUCAUGGGUGACUUUUGGAAGCCUAGAAUAACAUAGGAAAUGUACAAGAAAUCAUUGAGCUUGCCAUUUAUUUCAGUAUUUGGAGGAUAAUAUUUAAUUUUUAAUCAUAUAAAAACAAAAGUAUAUUUAAUUCAUUAUUUUCUAAUAUUAUCUUAGAAAUAUUUUUAGAGAUAUAUUUAUUUUAGAACUUAUUGAGGAUAUUAAUACAAUGAAUUUGAUAAAUGUAAUAUAAAAAUGUAUAAAGUCAUUAAUUUUUUUUAUUUAUUAAAUUUGAAAUAUACAUAUCAUGUAGUAAUUUUUUGAAAAAAAAGAUUACUUUUAUAAAGCCAAUUCAAGGAAAAAGAAAACAUAACACUAUCCUCACUUCUCCGUGGUGUUUUAUUUCAUAUUAGAAAUCCUUCUAAUAAAAUUUCCUUUCUAAAAAUUUUAAAAAUAUUUUUUAUAACUACAAAAAAAAAAAAAAAAAAAAAAAAAAAAGCAUUACACUUAUCUUAUUCAUUACACUUUUAGAUUAUGUUGGUUUUAUUGGGAGCAGGGGGAAGGGAAUGGGAAGGAGAAAGUAGGUUUGCUUACUUGGAAAUGCUAUUUACAGAGAGACGGGGGUUUAGCCAGCUGAGAUUUGAAACAAAGAAAGGAAAGCUGGUGAUGGUGGAUUGAAUAUAGAGAAUGUGGGGUUUUGGGGUUGGGAGGCAUAUAUUCUUGACUGUUACGGUAACAACAUUUAUGAAAUGGACACAGCCUCCCUGAUGGUAGUACUCCAAAACGAUGUCGUUUCAGGACCCAAAAAGACAGGGUUUUAUCUCCCUCACCGCAUUGUAAUUAUUAUUAUUACGAUGGUUAAAAUUAGGAGUCAAUUUCUUGGGAUAUUCCACUAAUAAAAAAUAAAUAUAUUAUUUAUUUUAUUUUAUUUUUUAUUUCACUUAUCUUAUCAUAUUGUAGACCCCCCAUACGGUGAGGGCUUUUGGGUUUUUUUUGUUUUUGUUUUUUUUGUUUUUUAUUUUAUUCUUCUGACCACCCUAGAAAUUAAGCUGCAUGGGGCGGCAGAUGGGAUGGGUGGCAGGGGGCAAGCGGUGGCUUGCUGAGGAAGACGAGAGAAAAUAAAAAAAAAAAGAGGAAAAGGAAAAGGGAGAUCUGCAGAGGGUGGGAGGACUUUUCCGGAGAGCAGAAGACACCACUGUCAGUUGGAGGGCUCAGGUAUGGCCAUCUUCUCAAUUUUGGGUCUUUCUUUUUCGCUAUUUUUACUCAAUUCAUGCUGUGAAUCUAUUCUUCUCUGUCAUUGGGCUUGUUGAUUAUUGCUUUGGCACCUUUCUCUCCGAACCCCAUGCUCGUCCCUGCCUCACCCACGUCCCACGCAUGGCCGUCACCCUCACCUAUCUUCCUCAUCACCUCUUUCUCCCUCUAAUCGCCAUACCCGACUCCACAAGGACUCCCAAGGUCGCUCUUCUGCACGCAUGGAGUCCAAGCAAGCAUGCUGCCCCUCCCCGCAUCUCCUUGCUGCGCGCACCGCGCCGACGAGGCGCUUGCUCGUCUCACCAGCCGUUGCCUCGCCGCCAACCGCCAUCACCCGCUCCGGCUACGCUCACAUCUGCUCUUGCUCCGGGACCGCGUCGCCGCUGCCAUCGCUCCAGGACCACGCCGCCGCUGCAAUCGCUCCAGGACUACGCCGCCGCCGCCAUUACCCGCGACAGCGCCACCGCUGCCAUAGCCCGCGGCAGCGCCACCGUCUUCGCCUGGAAGGGCGAGAUCCUCCCGAGGCCUAGGAGCUGUCCACCAAGCUUGGAGAAAUCCGUGACUCCGAGCACCGUCGCCGCAGCCAGACGCGAGGGGGGGGGGGGGGGGGGGAACUAGGAAGAAGAUGAAGUCUUGUUGGGCUUGGGCUAAGGCUAGGCCCAAUUUGUGUUUGGUUUUGGCUAGGCCCAGUUUUGAGUUUGGUUUUGGGUUUGGGUUAUGAAGGCUUUGGGCUUGGGUUUGAGUUUGGAGCCCAGGCCCAAGCCUAUGCUGAAGAUGGGGCCUUUGUCUUGAGCCCAUUUCUAUUAUUACCAUAAUUAUUAUUAUUGUUAUUUUUAAUUAUUAUUGUCAUUGCUAUUAUUAUUACUAUUAUUAUUAAUCAUUGUUAUCAUUAUAUUUACUACUAUUAUUAUUAAUCAUUAUUAUCAUUAUAAUUAUUAUUAUUAUUAUCAUUAAUUAUUAUUGUCAUUGCUAUCAUUAUUAUUAUUGCUAUUAUUAUUACUAUUAUUAUUAAUCAUUGUUAUCAUUAUAUUUAUUAUUAUUAUUAUUAAUCAUUAUUAUCAUUAUAAUUAUUAUUAUUAUUAUCAUUAAUUAUUAUUGUCAUUGCUAUCAUUAUUAUUGUUAUUAUGAUUGUUGCUAUUAUUAUUAAUCAUUGUUAUCAUUAUAUUUAUUAUUAUUAUUAUUAAUCAUUAUUAUAAUUAUAAUUAUUAUUAUUAUUAUUAUUAUUAUUAUUAAUUAUUAUUGUCAUUGCUAUCAUUAUUAUUAUUAUCGGCAUUAUGAUUGUUACUAUUAUUAUUAAUCAUUGUUAUCAUUAUAUUUAUUAUUGUUAUUAUUAAUCAUUAUUAUCAUUGUUAUUAUUAUUAUUAUCAUUAUUAUCAUUAAUUAUUAUUAUCAUUAUUAUUAACUCAACUUUCAAAAUCUAUUUAUCAUUAUUAUUAUUAUCAUUAAUCCAAACUUUCAACACCUAUUCAUUAUUAUUAAUUAUUAUCAUUAAACCCAACUUCCAAAAUCUCAUCAUUAUCAUUAUUAUCAAUUCACAUUUUCAACACCUAUUUAUUAUUAUUUAUUAUUAUCAUUAGUCCAAACCUCCAAGAUCUCAUCAUUAUUAUUAUAAUUAACUCAACUUUCAAAAAUCUAUUUAUUAUUAUUAUCAUCAUUAAUCCAAGCUUUCAAAAACCUCAUCAUUAUUGUUAUUAUUACCUCAACUUUCAAAAUAUUAUUAUUAUUAUUAUUAUUAUUAUUAUCAUUGAUUAAUACUUUCAAAACCUUAUUAUUAUUAUUAUUAUUAUUAUUAAUUCAAACUUUCAAGACCUUAUUAUUAUUAUUAAUUCAAACUUUCUAACUUCCAAUUUCCAAGCCCAAUUUAUAAAAAUUCAACCUUCAAAUAAUACUUCAAAAUUCCGACAUUUAAAAUUCAAUUCCAAUUUCCGAAAAUUCUCAUACUCACUUUAAUUUAUUUAAUCACUAAUACUUUAUUCAUUUAUUUUUAAAACUCCAUUCUUAAUCUAUUUAUUUAAAAUUUCUGUUUGCCGAAUUAAAUUCCGAAAAUUCCCAUUCUCACUUCAAUUUAUUUAAUCACUAAUACUUUAUUCAUUUAUUUUUAAAAACUCCAUUCUUAAUCUAUUCUUUAAAAUUUCCAUUUACCGAAUUAAAUCCCGAAAAUUCCUAUACUCACUUUAAUUUAUUUAAUCACUAAUACUUUAUUCAUUUAUUUUUAAAACUCUAUUCUUAAUCUAUUCUUUAAAAUUUCCAUUUACCGAAUUAAAUUCCGAAAAUUCCUAUACUCACUUUAAUUUAUUUAAUCACUAAUACUUUAUUCACUUAUUUUAAAACUAAUCUAUUCUUUAAAAUUUCCGUUUAUCGAAUUACAUUUCUAUUUUUGAAAAUUCCAGUAUUCACAUUAAUUUAUUUAAUUAUUAUUAUGUUAUUUAUUUAUUCUAAAAUUCUAUUUUAAACAAUUCAUUUAAAACUUUCGAUCUCUGAAUUAAAUUUCUAUUUCUGAAAAUUUCACUAUUCACAUUAAUUUAUUUAAUUAUUAUUAUGUUAUUUACUUAUUCUAAAAUUCCAUUUUAAACAAUUCAUUAAAAUUUCCGACUUUCGAUUUUAAUUUCUAAUUCCAAAAACUCCAAUAUUCGCAUUAAUCUAUUUAAUUAUUAUUAUUUUAUUUAUUUAUUCUAAAAUUCUAUUUUAAACAAUUCAUUUAAAACUUUCGACUUCCGAAUUAAAUUUCUAUUUCUGAAAAUUUCAAUAUUCACAUUAGUUCAUUUAAUUAUUAUUAUUUUAUUUAUUUAUUCUAAAGUUCCGUUUUAAACAACUCAUUAAAAUUCUCGACUUCUGAUUUAAUUUAUAAUUCCAAAAUUCCAAUACUCACAUUAAUCUAUUUAAUUAUUAUUAUUUUAGUUAUUUAUUUCGAAAUUCCAUUUUAAACAAUUCUUCAAAAUUCAAAAUUCGGAACUUAAUUUCCAAUUUCCAAAAUUCUAAUUUCUUUCAAAUUUAAUAUCCAAAAUUCCAAUUCUUAAAUUUAAUUCUCAAGACUCCAAUCUUCAAAUAAUUUUCGAGACUCCGAUUUCCAAAUAAAUAUCCAAAAUCAAGUUUUUACUCCAAUAGUUUUAAUUCCAUUUCGGUUCUUAAAUAAUCUUUUGAUCUUCUGGAUUUUACAUAAGCAAUAAUGAAUUCUUCAUAAUUCUAAAACAUGGAAUUUGUGAGAUUAGUUCAUGAACAAUAAAUUGGGCUUUGGUGGGGGGGCCAUAUGAUUGAUCCCUAUUGAUUGUCAACUGUUGUGCUUGAUAUAUUUUGCUCGAUCUUCAUUUUGCGCUCCGAUAUGCAUGAGCUAUAAUUCGUAUUCGUUAAUUGUGUACUAAUCCCGUUUCUUGAUAGCGCAUUGUGGCUCGUGGCUCAGGUACGCACACAUUUUCAUUUUGAUCAUUCUCUAUGCAUGUUGGAUUUUCAUAUGUGCAUGAUUUGACUUAGGCAUCCAUUGAUUGUCACGUCGGCUUCAUUUUAUUAGUAGAGACCCGACUUUAGGGGCUUAGAGGGGUGCUACGGUCUUUACCGUACCUUCCCGAUGAGUAACCUGACCCCCGAACCCGAUCCGAUUUUUCACAGACCACCUUUUCCAAAAUAAGGAGUCACACUUAGGGUUUUUCUUUCUUAUUUUGUUUACCCUUUUAAAAUAAAACAAAAAUAAGUGGCGACUCCAAGUCAUUUUCAAAUAGUCAAUAAAAAUCAAUUUUCCUAAAUAAACAUCGAGCUCGCCAUUGAGUGGGAAACGCAUUGAGCCGAAAUGCGGGGUCCACACAUAUAUUUAACUAAAUAUGACAUAAGAUAAACUAUGAGAUAUAUUAUUUGUUUUAUUUUUUAUAAAUAUGUUAAUACCAAGUUAAAUUAUAUAAAAUACACAUAUCCCCUGUAUUAUAAAUUUAUUUAUUUAUUUAUCUAUUUUUAAUUUAUAAAAUAAUUUUUUUAUAAUAAAAUAUAAUUUAUGGUUAAAAAGAACUCAAAAAUUUAUAAAAUAUAUUAUAAAAUAAUAUUAAUUAUAUGUAUUAUUUAAUAUAUAAAUUAUUUUUAUAUAUUUCAAAUAACAUAAUAUAAAAAAAUUAUUUAUAAAGUUUAAAUAUUUUAAUCAUGAAUAUUUUUAUAUUUUUUUAAAUAAAAAAUAUUAGAAUAUAAUAUAAAUUUUAUUUUAAAAUUUUAAAAAUAAUAUAUAUUCUAUUUUAUGUUUUUAUUCAUUUUAUAAACUAAAUAUAAAUCUAAUAUAACAUGUUUUAUUGGAUAUCUUAGUUUAAGAUAUCAUAUCCAUUGCAUAUAAUAUAUCACAUUCAAUUGAAAAUCAUAUAGCAUGAGAUAUGAUAUUUCAAGAUAUAUAUACAUAUAUAUUUUAUCCAAUGAACCAACAUAAUCUAAAUUAGUUAUAAAAUAUAUUAUUUUUAAAAGUGUUUAUUUCUUAGUCAUUACACUUUAUUAUUAUUAUUAUUAUUAUUAUUAUUAUUAUUAUUAUUAUUAUUAUUUUCUUUAUUUUUUUCACAUGCAAUGAUAGUUUCUAGUCAUCAUGCCUUGCAAGACCCAAUACUCACAAAAUUUACAAGUUUACUCAUCAUAUCUUUUAAAUUUUUUGUUACUCCUAAAGUAUUCAAGACUUUUAGCAAUGUCAUAUCCUUAUCACUACAACUAACAACUUUGACCAAUUCAAAAAAUGAACUUCACAUGCAAUAGUAGUUCUAAUCAUCAUGUCUUGCAAGACCCGAUAGUUACAAAAUUUUCAAGUCUACUAUUCAUCAUAUCUUUUAAAAUUUUGGUUACUCAUAAAGUAUUCAAGACUUUUAGCAAUGUCAUAUCCUUAUCAUUAUAACUAAGAACUUUGCCCAAUUCAAAAAAUGAACUUCUCAUGCAAUAGUUCUAGUCAUCAUGCCUUGCAAGACCCGAUAGUUACAAAAUUUUCAAGUCUACUACUCAUCAUAUCUUUUAAAAUUUUGGUUACUCAUAAAGUAUUCAAGACUUUUAGCAAUAUCAUAUCCUUAUCAUUACAACUAAGGACUUUGCCCAAUUCAAAAAAUGAACUUCACAUGUAAUAGUAGUUCUAGUCAUCAUGCCUUGCAAGACCCGAUAGUUACAAAAUUUUCAAGUCUACUACUCAUCAUAUCUUUCAAAAUUUUGGUUACUCAUAAAGAAUUCAAGACUUUUAGCAAUGUCAUAUCCUUAUCACUACAACUAAGAACUUUGCCCAAUUCAAAAAAUGAAUUUCACAUGCAAUAGUAGUUCUAGUCAUCAUGCCUUGCAAGACCCGAUAGUUACAAAAAUUUCAAGUCUACUACUCAUCAUAUCUUUUAAAAUUUUGGUUACUCAUAAAGUAUUCAAGACUUUUAGCAAUGUCAUAUCCUUAUCACUACAAUUAAGAACUUUGACCAAUUCAAAAUAUGAACUUCACAUGUAAUAGUAAUUUUAGUUAUCAUGCCUUGCAAAACCCGAUACUUACAAAAUUUUCAAGUCUACUACUCAUCAUAUCUUUUAAAAUUUUGGUUACUCAUAAAAUAUUCAAGACUUUUAGCAAUUCAAAAGUGCAUGCUUUAGAAAGUUAUUACUUUUUGUAGUUUAAAUGUGAGUGUUAUGUAUUUGUCUUUUCACAUAUUUAUAUAUAACCUAGAUGGCCAAUCAGGCCAUUACCAUACAAUUUUUUUUUUUUUUUUAUAUAUAAUCUCAUAAAGCAUUUUCAAUUUUUUUUUAUAAUGUAUAUAAAAUAAUGUCAAUCCAUUUACACUUACGAAAAUGAUUUUUCUUAAAAAUGUCAAAGGCAACGAGGUAUGAAUAUUUUUAUAUCUGGAAACUGCAGGGACCCACUAAGGGGAGUACAUGCUAUUAGUGUCGGUGAGGAGAAGAUAGAGGAAACACAUUGGGGGGUGAGUCAAGGAGGAAGGGGCGUGCCGCCCUGCCGGGAGCGUGGUGGCAUGAAUUACUUGGGCGGAGCGAGAUGUCACGUGGACCGCGCUUUGCGCGGACACGCGGCGACCUGCAGAUCCGGAGGGGCGACGUUGUCUAACGAAUUUUAGAAAUUCGUGCCACUAGCCAUAUGGAUUUUGGACUAAAAUAAAAAACAAGACUUUAUUUUUGUUAUUUCUUUUAUAAGGAUGUCAUAAUUAAUAAUUCAAAAAUGUUAAUAAUUAAUUAUUAAAGAGAUUUUUGCUACUCUUCGAAAUUAUAAAAAAGUUUAUACACUCAUAAAACAAAUAAAUGUAUCUUCUAAUAAAUAAAUUUUUAUUAAAAUAAAUAAAUAUAUAUCUAAUUUUGAAUUUAUUAAUAUGAAGUAAAUUGUAUGUAUCUUAAGUUAGAUUUCUUAUUGAUUAAAAAAAAAGACCAUUCAAGGUUUAGCUAGAUGAAAAAAAAAUCUUUAUUUAUUAGAAAAUUCAAUUUUUUUUGAAUGAUGAAUCAUUGAUAAUGAUAUAUAAAAAUAAUUUAUAUAUCAUAUAUUAAUAUUACUUUAUAAAUAUUUUUAGUUUUUCUUUUUUAACCAUAAAUUUAAUUUAUAAUUAAAAAAAUUAUUUUAUAAAUGGUAUCUCUUGUCAUCAUACCUUUCAAGACUCUAAGCUCAUAAAAAUUUUCAGUAUUUUCAUCAUAUCUUUUAAAAAGCCAUGUAUAACGGGUCUUUUUUUUCUUAAGUUUAAGUCAAUAAAUCAAAUUAAAAAAAAUAAUAAACUUUCAUUAUUGUAUUUUAUAUUGUAGCGAGAGACUUAAAAAGUCAUGUAUAACAAGUCUUCCUUUCAUAAGUCAAGUCAAUAAAUAGAAUUAAAAGAAAUAAUAAAUUUUCAUUAUUGUACUUUGUCUUGUAGCAAGAGACUUAAAAACCCAUGUAAGAGGUCUUCAUUUCUUAAGUCAAGUCAAGUCAAGUCAAUAAAUCGAAUUGGAAGUUUUUCCUUUUCUCUUUUUUUAAACCAACUUCUACUAUUACUUUUAUUAAUUAUUUUGAUCAUUUGAUUAAAUAUUAAAUUAUUAUUAUUUUUUUUCAAGUACAAACCAUUUCAUGUUAAAAAAUUUAAAGUGGAUCUAACUUUCUUUACAAGUUAAGAUAUCUUGAUAAAGGGAUAAAUAAUGGAUUGUAAUAUUUCAACUUUAAUUAAGUUAAUUUAUCAAUAUUCAAACUAAGUUGGAGAAAAAAAAAAAACAAAGACAACACCUCAAUUUUAGUUUUCCAUUACACAUGGUUAUUUCUUUUUCUUCUUUUUCCUUUGCUUCUUUGACACGCAAUGGUAUCUUUAGUCAUCAUACAUUAAAAAAAACAAGAUAAAGAAACAUUAGUCUACAUUGAGUGUGUUAAUAUGAAGUACAUUUUGUAGAUGAUGAAUCAUUGAUGAAGAUAGGCUAAGGAAUUUUUUCGGUCUAUAGAAUGACUUGUUAAUUAAAGUUGGAAUAUUAUAGUACUUUAUUUUUAUUAUCUCUUUAUCAAGAUGUCUUAAUUAAUGAUUCAAAAAUGUUAAUAAUAUCAUAAAAGAUAUUUUUUCUACUCUUGAAAAUUAUAAAAAAAGUUUAUACACUCAGAAAACAAAUUAUCUUCUAAUAAAUAAAUUUUAUUAAAAUAAAUAAAUAUAUGUCUACUUUGAAUUUAUUAAUAUGAAGUAAAUUGUAGGUAUCUUAAGUUAGAUUUCUUAUUGAUAAAAGAAAAAGACCAUUCAACAUUUAACUAGAUGGAAAAAAAAUCUUUAUUUAUUAGAAAAUUCAAAUUAUUUUUUGAAUGAUGAAUCAUGGAUAAGGAUAAAUACUCUAGAUGGGUCAAAUAUGGUAGAUAACUUGGUUCCAAUAAAUAUUACAUUAAAUUUUUUUGGAACUUAUAUUUCUGCUAACUAAAAGCAACCUCUAUAUGGAUUCAAUAUAGAGGAUGGUGUGACCGUAAAGUUAUUUCUUUAAAUUUUUGGCCGUAUAUUGUCACUUAACUACCACUUAUAAUAAUAAUAAUGAUGAUGAUGAUAGAGGAAACUGCAUGGGACCCACGAAGGCAUGGGGAGUACACGCUAUUGGUGUCGGUGAGGAGAAGAUAGAGGAAACACAUUGGGGGGUGAGUGAGGGAGCAAGGGCGGGAUGGAGUCAACAAGAGUGUUGACUGAGGAUAAUAAAGGGGCACGCCGCCCUGCCGGGAGCGUGGUGGCAUGAAUUACUUGGGCGGAGCGACAUGUCACGUGGACCGUGGCGACCUGCAGACCCGGAGGGGUAGCGUUGUCUAACGGAUUUUAGAAAAUUCGUGCAACUAGCCAUAUGGAUUUUGGAAUAAAAUAAAAAAUAAGACUUUAUUUUUGUUAUUUCUUUUAUCAAGAUGUCUUAAUUUAUAAUUCAAAAAUGUUAAUAAUAAAUUAUAAAAGAGAUUUUUGCUACUCUUCGAAAUUAUAAAAAAGUUUAUACACUCAUAAAACAAAUAAAUGUAUCUUCUAAUAAAUAAAUUUUUAUUAAAAUAAAUAAAUGUAUAUCUACUUUGAAUUUAUUAACAUGAAGUAAAUUGUAGGUAUCUUAAGUUAGAUUUUUUAUUGAUUAAAGAAAAAGACCAUUCAAGGUUUAACUAGAUGGAAAAAAAAUCUUUAUUUAUUAGAAAAUUAAUUUUUUUUUAAUGAUGAAUCAUUGAUAAUGAUAUAUAAAAAUAAUUUAUAUAUAUCAUAUAUUAAUAUUAUUUUAUAAAUAUUUUUAGUUUUUCGUUUUUAACCAUAAAUUUAAUUUAUAAUUAAAAAAUUUAUUUUAUAAAAUAAAUAUAUAAAAAAAUAAAUUUAUGAUAUAUGAGAUAUACAUAUCUUAUAUCUUAGUAUAGAAUUAACAUAUUUCGUGUAAAAGGAAUAAAAAAAGAGUGAAUAAUAUAUUUCACCACUUAAACUAUCUCAUCAUUAAUUAAAUAUAAAAUUUGAUGUAAUAUCUUCUCUUUUAUCCUGUAUGAUGUUACAUUUGAUCAACCAAACAUAACCUAUAAAGUUAAAAUUAUAGAAAUGAAAUGUAAGAGACCUUACUGAAAAAUAGAAAGUAAAAUGAUUGAUUUUUGAAAGUAAAUAUUGAUAAUAUUAUAAAAUUUUCACUAACAUAAAUUAAAAAAUUCAAGGAAAAAAAAAACAUAACACUAUCCUCACAAUUCCGUGAUAUUGUUUUUUUCAUAUUAGAAAUCCUUAUAAUCAACUUUCCUUUUUAUACGUUUUAAAAAGAAUUUUUAUUACUAAUUUAGAUUAAAAAAAAAAAAAAAAACCUUUCAACCAACCACACAUGUGACAUGGUGGUUGUUUUUAAAUUUCAAUAAAAGAUUUUAUAAUUAUUAAGAAAAGAAAAAAAUGUUAAAAAAAAAUGAUUAUUUUUUUUUAUUAUGAAAUAUACGAAAGUAAAAAUAUAUAAUUAAAAUUAAUAAAAAAACUAAUAUAUUUUAAAAUUAUUUACUUUUUAUUUUUAAAAAUUAAAUAAAUAAAAUAAAUUUAAAAUAAAAUAUAAAAAUAAUUUAUUAAUUUUAAAUUUAUUUUUUAUUUCUCUCUCACUUGUUCUUUAAGACGUGUUGUGUGUAAAAUACCAUAAAACAAGUCAUAUCACCAUGCUCAAGAUUUCAACAUGGUAGGUGUAGGUUUUGAAGACUUUUCCAUAUGAUUAAUACUUGGAUACCUGAAUUUUCUUUGGGUGGGGUUGGGCUUCUGUAAGUUUCUCUGCAAUUUUCUCCUACUUGGAAACAAAGGAAUGGUCAAAGAGAGGAACUCAGUGAAGAGAAGAUUGAAACGGACUGGAUACACCCUCGCUUGCUCCGAAGGUUGGUAUGAUCUUCAUGGUCGGUAGGCCUUCUCAAGUCUCCAUGCAUGCCUCAUUUUUCCCAUAUGAUAAAUCAAUGGUAGGAAGAGCGAGCUUCACACGAACAAACACAAUAAAAUCAUUAAAUUUUUGGAAUAAUAAUAUGAUGAAGUUGAUAAAUGAUAAGGAUUAGGAAGAUGUUUAAUGAAAUUUUAAACUAAUAAUAAUUAGAUGUAUUUAACCUAAACUUUUGGAGAGAUUAAUGAAAUUAAUCAUAUAAAAAUUUCUCUAAUUUUAAUUUUAGAAUAAAUAUUAACAAUAUUUUUUUCAAAUAUAAAUAAUAAUAUUUGGAAAACAUCAUCAGUAAAUUGCCUUUUCAAUUUUUUGUCUAAUUGUCAUUUUAAAUGAAUAUUAAAAUCCUUUUAGUAAAAUUUAUGAAUUUAGUAAAAUAUUAAUAUCUAUAUUUUAUAAAUUUUAAUAAAGUUUUAUUAUUUUUAAUAAAAAAAAAAUUAUAUAAGUUGUGUUUGUCUUAUUAGUAUCACUAUUUACAAAAUUUAUCUUUAUAUUAUUUAUUUUAAAAAUUAUUAUUUAUUAAGAAUCAUUUUUAUAAAAGGUAAAAAAUAAUUACCAUAUAAAUAUAAAUUAAAAGUCGAGGUUAUAUUUGUUAAUUAUUUUUAAAAAGGGAUUUCAAAACAUUACUUUCUCCAAAAAUAACAAUAAUAAUAUUAUAAACACAAUAUUUACUCAAAAUAUUAUGUAAAUGAAAAACUUAAAAAUAAUAUAUAUUUGUUUUUUAAAAAAUAUUUUUAGUCAUAAUUAAAGGUCAUCUACUCAACAUGUUGGUGGGAAUGGUAUAUAAGUCAAUGCCUGCUUUGCUCACAAAUCAAAAACCAAAACUUGCUAAUCCUUGUUAUUACACACUAUCCUUGCUCUGUGUUGAACAUGGCUACAAGCCCCUUUCGAUAUUUUAUUUCCCUUUUUCUGCUUUUGCUCUGUUUCGAAGCCUGUUUGAGGGUGGGUGAUGCUACAGUUGGGUGCAGAGAGAGGGAGAGGCAAGCUCUCCUUCACUUCAAACAAGGUGUUGUCGAUGACGAUGGAGUGCUUUCUUCAUGGGGGAAUGGGGAAGACAAAAGAGAUUGUUGCAAAUGGGCAGGAGUGGAGUGUAACAACCAGACGGGUCAUGUGAUCAGGCUUGAUCUUCAUGACCAAUCUUUGGGAGGUAAGAUAUCUCAGCUUGGUCCUUCAUUGGCAGAGUUGCAGCACUUGAAGCAUUUGAACCUCAGCUAUAAUGAUUUUAAAGGUAAUUAUAUACAUAUAUACCUUGUGAAAAUUCAUCAGCUUGUCUCAGCAGAAUAUAAUUCUCUCUUUUCCCAAUUUUACAGGAAUUCUUCCCACUCAACUUGGAAAUCUUUCCAAUUUGCAAUCCCUUGAUCUCGGCAGUAAUUAUGGGCAUAUGAGCUGUGAGAACCUUGACUGGCUUUCUCACCUUCCUUCGUUAACACACCUUGACUUGAGUGGGGUUUAUCUUAGUAAAGCAAUCCACUGGCCACAAGCAAUUAAUAAAAUGCCUUCCCUAACUGAGUUAUACUUGAGUGAUACUCAGCUUCCUCCGAUUAUUCCAACAAUAUCCAUUUCCCAUAUUAAUUCUUCUACUUCUCUUGCUGUGCUUCAUCUCUCCUUGAAUGGUCUCACUUCUUCAAUAUACCCAUGGUUGUUCAACUUCAGUAGCAGCCUUGUUCAUCUUGACCUCUCUAUGACUGAUCUAAAUGAAUUAAUUCCGGAUGCUUUUGGAAACAUGACUACUCUGGCAUAUCUUGAUCUCUCUUGGAACGAGCUAUGUGGUUCAAUUCCGGAUGCUUUUGGAAACAUGACUACUCUGGCAUAUCUUGAUCUCUCUUUGAACGAGCUACGUGGUUCAAUUCCGGAUGCUUUUGGAGACAUGACUACUCUGGCACACCUUGACCUUCAUUCUAAUCAUCUAAAUGGAUCAAUUCCGGAUGCUUUUGGAAACAUGACUAGUCUGGCAUAUCUUGAUCUCUCUUCGAAUCAA